rnacentral:rRNA from 1 species
CGCGGCCUAUCAGCUUGUUGGUGAGGUUAUGGCUUACCAAGGCGACGACGGGUAGCCGGCCUGAGAGGGUGUCCGGCCACACUGGGACUGAGAUACGGCCCAGACUCCUACGGGAGGCAGCAGUGGGGAAUAUUGCACAAUGGGCGCAAGCCUGAUGCAGCGACGCCGCGUGAGGGAUGACGGCCUUCGGGUUGUAAACCUCUUUCAGUACAGACGAAGCGUAAGUGACGGUAUGUACAGAAGAAGCACCGGCCAACUACGUGCCAGCAGCCGCGGUAAUACGUAGGGUGCGAGCGUUGUCCGGAAUUACUGGGCGUAAAGAGCUCGUAGGUGGUUUGUCGCGUUGUUCGUGAAAACCUGAGGCUUAACCUUGGGCGUGCGGGCGAUACGGGCAGACUGGAGUACUGCAGGGGAGACUGGAAUUCCUGGUGUAGCGGUGGAAUGCGCAGAUAUCAGGAGGAACACCGGUGGCGAAGGCGGGUCUCUGGGCAGUAACUGACGCUGAGGAGCGAAAGCGUGGGGAGCGAACAGGAUUAGAUACCCUGGUAGUCCACGCCGUAAACGGUGGGUACUAGGUGUGGGUUUCCUUCCUUGGGAUCCGUGCCGUAGCUAACGCAUUGAGUACCCCGCCUGGGGAGUACGG